rnacentral:rRNA from 1 species
GAUGAACGCUGGCGGCGUGCCUAAUACAUGCCAGUCGAGCGAACAGAUGAGGAGCUUGCUCCUCUGACGUUAGCGGCGGACGGGUGAGUAACACGUGGAUAACCUACCUAUAAGACUGGGAUAACUUCGGGAAACCGGAGCUAAUACCGGAUAAUAUAUUGAACCGCAUGGUUCAAUAGUGAAAGACGGUUUUGCUGUCACUUAUAGAUGGAUCCGCGCCGCAUUAGCUAGUUGGUAAGGUAACGGCUUACCAAGGCAACGAUGCGUAGCCGACCUGAGAGGGUGAUCGGCCACACUGGAACUGAGACACGGUCCAGACUCCUACGGGAGUCAGCAGUAGGGAAUCUUCCGCAAUGGGCGAAAGCCUGACGGAGCAACGCCGCGUGAGUGAUGAAGGUCUUCGGAUCGUAAAACUCUGUUAUUAGGGAAGAACAAAUGUGUAAGUAACUAUGCACGUCUUGACGGUACCUAAUCAGAAAGCCACGGCUAACUACGUG